GCCGUUGGAAAUAAACAUUUGCACUUAUUAUAUGUCGCAUGCUUCUCGGAGGUAAACACACGCGCCCGCGCGGAGAUGCAUGUAAGAACAGCAGAAGACAGAUAAGAACAUGUAUGCACACACAGACAGGCAUUCAUAGCAGGCGGUAAUAACAUAGUGCAGCUUUUGAGAGGCCAGCCACAGUUCUGCGGGUGGAGAGGGUACAUGCAGGAGAUGUUAUUGCUCUAUAUGUUUAUAACGCUGCCAUGGAAAAAUAAGAGCCACGGCCACAGGCAUUUCCUCGGUUCCUCUCUCCUCAGUCACCUCGCCGGGCUUGUGUGGGAGGGAGGCUGUGGGCUCAGCACAUGUCACACUUCAUCAUUUUCAGAAAUAGGCAUCCUAAUUCCUCUCUGUCUCUCUUCGCAGGAGCUCGAUCACAGACCUCCCAUUCACCAACUGACUCCAGUUUACUUCCCCCAACUCAACUGUCUGUAUCAUCUAUUGUCAGGAGGCGCACAGAGCCGACCCCUGCAGUCGUCUUACUUUCCUAAAAUGUUGAUUUAGCGGAGCGUUUGAGACUAUGUGAUGACACUGCUGCCGAUCAAGAAGUUGAGGUUUAUCUCACACUUGUACUGAAGUCUGAUCGAAUGGAGGGACAGGAAGCUCCGUUUAGGUGGUGUUGCUUGUUCACCUGCUUAGAAAGAACGGUGCAAUCAAGGGUGGGAUAAUUGUGCCAUCUGGUGCGAUUGACGAGAAGAG